GACCAAAAUGACACAGACAUUAACAACUAUAGGUCACCGUACGGCCUUCAACAAUGAGCAAAGCUCAUACCGCAUAGUCAGCUAUAAAAGGCCUCGAUAAGACAAUGUAAAACAAUUCAAACGAGAAAACUAACGGCCUUAUUUAUGUAAAAAAAGAACGAAAAACAAAUAUGUAACACAUAAACAAACGACAACCACUGAAUUACAGGCUCCUGACUUGGGACAGGCACAUACAUAAAUAAUUUAACAC
rnacentral:lncRNA from 1 species